AUUAGGGCAGCCAUUUUAGAGAGAAGGGCUGCCUUUAUAAGCAGGGCAGUUUGGCUGCAGGAGGCCAGGCAGCAACAUUGUCUGGCUGUAGGGCUGCUAUGAAGGACCCGGAGGUGUUUAAUUUGCUUGUGGUGUUGCAGAGGCAUCAUGAGCAGUGACUUCUUGACUACAGGCGUGAGCAUUUUCUAGAACUGCUCUAGCUUUUGUUGCUCUACUGCAAAUGCCUGGCCUAAAGAUAAUCCACAUCAGGUUCACUCUACUACAACUACUAAACAACAACUACUAAAGCAGAGAGAGAUUAUAAAGUCCAGUGCUCGGAAAGGGAUUCCAGGCUCAGAUCUUCUACAGCCACUUUCAUACAAGUCCUCAAGCCUCAAGGCAUAAGAAGUUUCUAAAUCAGUUACUGGGAUUUAAUUAAAGAGGUUUUUCAUCAUUUUCAAGGGCAGCACCUUAAUGUGACCAAUAAGCUAAAGGAUAUAUGGUGUUAGAAUCAGCUCUCUAAUUGACCAGGAAAAAUCCAGACAACGUACUUAAAAAGCUUUAAUAAGAAGUUUAAAAAGGCAUUUUGUGAUCUUACACGUCCUUAUCUUGUCUGUAAUUGAAAGCUACAAAGUAAUUGAGGGCUACAGCUUUCCCAGGGCUGAAUACUACUGUAUUACAGACAGACAGAAUGGAUUAUUUGAAUUACUUGUACAAGUGAUUAACAAUUUCUUCUCUCUCUUUCUCGCUCUAUUUUAUCAUCUCCCUCAAAUCAUAAUCACCUGCACCACUUCCUACAUACCACCAUGCCUAGCACCUACAGAAAUGGAAAACCAGCCACUCAAAUAUAAUCCAUAUACAAAUAAAUGUAAUAUUAUCCCUUAGUAGCUAAUCAAAA